GACGAACGCUGGCGGCGUGCUUAACACAUGCAAGUCGAACGGAAAGGCCCUGCUUUUGUGGGGUGCUCGAGUGGCGAACGGGUGAGUAACACGUGAGUAACCUGCCCUUGACUUUGGGAUAACUUCAGGAAACUGGGGCUAAUACCGGAUAGGAGCUCCUGCUGCAUGGUGGGGGUUGGAAAGUUUCGGCGGUUGGGGAUGGACUCGCGGCUUAUCAGCUUGUUGGUGGGGUAGUGGCUUACCAAGGCGUUGACGGGUAGCCGGCCUGAGAGGGUGACCGGCCACAGUGGGACUGAGAUACGGCCCAGACUCCUACGGGAGGCAGAAGUGGGGAAUAUUGCACAAUGGGCGGAAGCCUGAUGCAGCAACGCCGCGUGCGGGAUGACGGCCUUCGGGUUGUAAACCGCUUUCGCCUGUGACGAAGCGUGAGUGACGGUAAUGGGUAAAGAAGCACCGGCUAACUACGUG
rnacentral:rRNA from 1 species